UUGAGCCGGAUGAGAGGAAACCUUCACGUCCGAUUUUGAGGGGGGGAUUCUAUAGGAACUUAUCCCAAUUUCUCUUUUGCUAGGCCCAUAGCUAAAAAACCCACUUUCU
rnacentral:ncRNA from 1 species